AACAACGAGGUCUCGAGCGUGCUAGCGUGAGCAUGGAGGAUGCUGGAGCGAGCACGCCUCUUAACGUUUGGUGAAUAUGGCGGCGUCCAGAGUCCGUUACAGAGAAAGAGGGACAAGUUACUAGUGACUAUAUCACUGGAGAAAAUGGCUGUCCUGCUUCCAGCAACCAUUACUUGCCAGUACCUUGGCAGGGGUCUGGCCUCAUAAGCCUCCCUCCCAUCCAUGGUGGGAUGGUAACGGGCCCAUCUGGUGCAGGUGAAAAAGGUCCUUCUCCAGCUGCAUGGCUCCUCCUCCCAGUCUGAGCGAAUGUUAUCAUUUUGAAGGAUGGCAGUCCUUUACCCUCUACCCAAUCACGUAACACCAAGGCUCGA
rnacentral:lncRNA from 1 species